rnacentral:rRNA from 1 species
CACCGCGGUCAUACGAGCGUUAGCCCAAGUGGACAGUUACCGGCGUAAAGCGUGGUUAGGGACUCCUCCAACUAAAGCAGAACUGCCUCCGGGCUGUUAUACGCUCCCGACGGUAAGAAACCCCACCACGAAAGUGGCUUUAACCCGACCCGAACCCACGAAAGCUGGGGAA